UGAGCAUAGUCUGUGAAAUUCCUUUAACAUAUUGUGUACAACGACAUUCAUUUCAUAAUUUUGAUGCUUCAAAUGCUGGUGAUCAUCUCUAAGAAUUGCACAAAGUGUGGUUUUGACACACGAUUGGGGUAUACUUGAACAUAUGAAAGAGCUAAGCACAAUUCAAGAGCGACAAGGACUCCAUCAAUGAGAGCAGCAGUGUUACAGAGGCCACAUUGCAAGGGAAAUUUCUGGAGGUCUGACUUUGUGUUUUCAACAGGGCAUACAGAGAGUGGAGCAGUACUUGCCUUUGGUGGAGGACAUAGUCCACUACUGUGAAAUUCAAGCAUCAUCAAACGCAUAGAUGGAUUUCAGACCUCAAGAUACGAUGGAGCAGUGCGUUUGCUUCCUAGUCUGUUUUCACCUCAAAGGUCCAAUAAUGUAUCAAUUCACUUGGAGCUAGGAAUGAUCCACUCUUUAUACUGUGUGAUGCUCCAAGACCGUGCUUUGGAACUUUCAUCAUCAGGCAAAGCAUACACAUUUAUUCCCCGAUAUAUGUUUUCUAAAUUAUGAUUUUUUAUUUGGUUAAAAAUAAGAGUUUUUUUUAUA